CGAAACCGCCCGUGCCAGAGUUGGCGAGAUAGUGCUCUUCAAGUCACAAGUAUAUACGUAUCAGUCGGCUUAACUUGUACUAAAUAAAUCUCCUUGGGCGUUCGUAUACAUAAUGCCACCAGGAGGCGAUAGAGACUUGAUAGUAUUUAACAACGACGACAAUAGGCGUGUGUAUGGUUCUCCGAUAGAAUCAGCGAAGGUUCACCCCUUUGCGCACGACUGUGACGACGACGACAACAACAGGCCCAUGAACCUGCCGUUCAGUGUGACCGCACGGCUUUACCAGCGUGAUAUCGCGUAAGAGUUUACUCUUACGCCUCCAGCGAAGCCGAUUCAACUUGUUUUCGCUCUUACGUUGAAGUGUCACUAAUGGGCAAGGUGAAUGGAGGCGUAUCGGCUAAGACAGAUAAUGAAUGGGGCAGCCGCCCCUUGAAACUACCGGAGGAAAGCGAAAGUUAUAACGUGCCUUGACUCUAGCAACCUCAUAUCCGCCAAUGGUAUCGAUGCAAUAGCGAACAGAAAUCUGGAUAUGUCGAACGCUUUCGGGUAGUUGAGCGUCAUAGUUCCACGACACCGCCGAGCGGCCCGCUUUCAGUUGCGCUAUAACACACAAUCUAUCACAGUUCAUGAAGAACAAGACGAAGAAAAAGAAGAAAACCGUGAGUAAGGGCCAUCAGAGGAAAACUGGCACAAAGAACUAGAUGGAGGCACAGUGCAGGAGCUGCCAGACGUCUGUAAUCUCGCGAGGGGCGGCGUCUGGUGCGUAACGAGGGUUGGUUUAACUCUACACAGACGUCCGGGAGCCGACACCGUGCUGAAAGCAAAGUAUGAACGCAUUUCUUCACUCAAGAAACGCUCGGGUAAGUUGCAAUGCGUGUGCACGGCGCUAGCGAGUGGACCAGUGAAAAAGGAGAGCCUAUGGUUGAUGUGCGCUACCCGCUGGUUUCAGGAGUGGACGUCCGCUCUAUUUACGAGAAGCGAUUGAUUUCUUUCCUUUCACUGCGUGUUGUGAAAUACCGCAGAAGUAUGCCCAGUGGACUGCAACUUGGAAAUAAGAAAAAUUAGCGCAACUUGCACUAAGCCGCGCAAGGCUGGAUCCCAGCAGAGCUGGAGGGCACGUUUCGGCUUCUCUUGUUGACCAUGUGUACAGAAUGCUUGGGAGGGGAUUGAGCGCGUGCCGGUUCAUGAUGAUGAUAAAUUUAUAUGUAGGACACACGGAAAACCUCAGCUCUGCUGUAAAAAGCGAAA